GAUCACACCACUGCACUCCAGCCUGGGUGACAGAGCAAGACUCUUGUCUGAAAAAAGAAAAAAAAAAGGUCUUCUCCUCACUGUCAAAGCUGGGUGCCAGGCACAGGAGGAGGUUCAUUACUCUCUCUUCUUCUGUGUGCGUUUGAAAUUGUCCAUUUAAAACAUGAAUCAGUGUUCUACAGAAAUCAGAAGUACUUGUUUUCACAAAUCAGUAUUCUUUCUUAAAUUAGAAUUUAAACUUGUUUUAUUACUAACCAACUGCUUCGGCUGAGCCCUGCACUGUGCUUACUUUCUGUUAAUGACAAGUGCAUCUUCGUUUUGUAGCUGGAAGCUCAGCUCAAGGACGCUGUUCCUGAAGCCUGAGAGGACUGCAGACUUCAUGAGCACAUCGCAGACUUCAAGCAAACAGAAAGUGAGCCUGAAGCCCUCGAGGUGGUGCUGGGUGCCUAAGACAAAGCCAAUUCACUGAUUGAUGUGGACUAGAUGGAAAGCCACAGUUACGCCUCUCAGUGCCUGUCUCAGCUGAAACAGGGCUAAGCUCACACCGUUCAAAGCCAGCUGAAGGCCUGAUUUUCACUGGUGACCAUACCAGAUAUGACCAUGGAGCAGGGAAGAAAGCGAAUGUGCCUGGCGACUCCUCUUCUGGAAGCUCUCUGGGACAUCAGUCCUCUUGGCCACUAUCAAGGUUUGGGGGCAGCUUAGACUGAAAACCGUGGUGACCCAUUAGCAGGCAACUUUCCUUCAAGAACACAUUAUUUUUCUUUCCUUUAUUGAAUUACUGGCUUCAUUAUUUUGGGGUUUAUUUGGGAGAGGAAAUUUCUAUCUUCCUUGAAUUAAAACCUGUGGUUAGACAUGGUUCUUUUGUACGUUUGCCAUUUGGUAAGGUUUUGAAGAAGGGAAAGGAUGAUGGAAAUGAAAAUGAUGAGGAUAAAAUUACCAGUUGGUUUAAUUCUCCGUAAAUAUUUUCUAGUUCUAGUUUCAGAUGAAAGUAUUUAAUCAAUGGGUCUUUAAAACCAUAUGAUCGUACUGUGAGAACUUUGAGAGAAUGUUAUCAUAGAAAUGAGGAAUGUCACCACUAAGAAUCAUUUUUCCCUUUUCCCACUAAAAUUAAAACAUAGGAGCACAGGGCUUGAAUGGACAGUAAACGUUGGCAUUUGUUUUGCAUUAUCUCCCCAAAAUCUAAACAGGAAAGCUACUUCUCUUAUUAAUCAAAUAAUCUUAAUAAAAUAUAUUGACCUAGUUUAUGAUAUGGAGUGUCAAUCUGAGUGUCCCAGCUGCUCUUCAUUGCUGGUGGGUUGAGUGUUCCCCUUAAAUAACACAUUUCUGUUGGGUGAUGCUAAUGAUUCUAGAUAAUGUUUCUUAAUAAAAUUAUUACAACAAUCA